UACCAGCACCCCGAGUGGUCGGGACGAUUAUUGGGCCUAAAGCAUCCGUAGCCGGUCCUACAAGUCUUCCGUUAAAUCCACCUGCUUAACAGAUGGGCUGCGGAGGAUACUAUAGGGCUAGGAGGCGGGAGAGGCAAGCGGUACUCAGUGGGUAGGGGUAAAAUCCUCUGAUCCAUUGAAGACCACCAGUGGCGAAGGCGGCUUGCCAGAACGCGCUCGACGGUGAGGGAUGAAAGCUGGGGGAGCAAACCGG
rnacentral:rRNA from 1 species